UACGGAGGAUGCAAGCGUUAUCCGGAUUUAUUGGGUUUAAAGGGUGCGUAGGCUGUUUGAUAAGUCAGUGGUGAAAGUCUGCAGCUUAACUGUAGAAUUGCCAUUGAUACUGUCAGACUUGAGUUCGGUUGAGGUAGGCGGAAUGUGUAAUGUAGCGGUGAAAUGCUUAGAUAUUACACAGAACACCAAUUGCGUAGGCAGCUUACUAAGCCGUUACUGACGCUGAGGCACGAAAGCGUGGGGAGCGAACAGG
rnacentral:rRNA from 1 species